rnacentral:rRNA from 1 species
UUUCGCAAUGCCCGAAAGGGUGACGAAGCGACGCCGCGUGAGUGAGGAAGGCCUUCGGGUUGUAAAGCUCUGUCAGGAGUUAAGAAAUAUAAGUGUGCUAAUACCACAUUUAUUUGACGAAGGCUCCAAAGGAAGCCACGGCUAACUCUGUGCCAGCAGCCGCGGUAAUACAGAGGUGGCAAGCGUUGUUCGGAAUUAUUGGGCGUAAAGAGCACGUAGGUGGGUUUGUAAGUCAGAUGCGAAAGCCUUCUGUUCAACGGAAGAAUUGCAUCUGAAACUGCGAGUCUUGAGUGUAGGAGGGGAGAAUGGAACUUCUGGUGGAGCGGUGAAAUGCGUAGAUAUCAGAAGGAACGCCGGCGGCGAAAGCGAUUCUCUGGCCUAUUACUGACACUCAGUGUGCGAAAGCUAGGGGAGCAAACGGGAUUAGAUACCCCGGUAGUCCUAGCCGUAAACGGUGGGCACUAAGUAGAGGGGUUUUA